CAGUAGCCGCGGGAAUACGUAGGGUGCAAGCGUUAAUCGGAAUUACUGGGCGUAAAGCGUGCGCAGGCGGUUAUAUAAGACAGAUGUGAAAUCCCCGGGCUCAACCUGGGAACUGCAUUUGUGACUGUAUAGCUAGAGUACGGCAGAGGGGGAUGGAAUUCCGCGUGUAGCAGUGAUAUGCGUAGAUAUGCGGAGGAACACCGAUGGCGAAGGCAAUCCCCUGGGCCUGUACUGACGCUCAUGCACGAAAGCGUGGGGAGCAAACAGGAUUAGAUACCCCAGUAGUCCCUGUCUCUUAUAA
rnacentral:rRNA from 1 species